rnacentral:rRNA from 1 species
AUGUCGUCGUGCCUCGCGCCGCAGUUCAAGUGGCCCCCUUCCACCCGAGCGGCGGUGCCGAGGGAGCCCGGCGCCGGCGGCUGCGCGGCAGGCGGGAGCUGCCGGCCAGGGAGGGUCCAGUGCGCGCUGUCCUCCGCGGCCGUCGUCGAGGCGGAGCGCAUGAAGUCCUUAGCCGCCGGAGCGAGGCGCCUGGCCUACGGCGGAGCCGUCGACGUCGGGCCUCCUCCCUCUUCGGAUAGCACCAGCCUCCCGGGGGGCUUCGGGGAGGCGCUUCUCAACCAAGAGGCCGUGGUGACGGCCGCGGCCGCGGAGGCCGUGGCUUUAGCGCGAACAGCCGCGGAGGUCGCCCGAGAAGUUGCCCGGAUGGUGCAAACGGACCACCGUCCAGACGUCGGCGACAGCCAUGACCUGGUGGAGGACAGCUACUUAACAAGAGAGGUCCUUCGCACCGAGGUGCGGCCGGGGUCUCGGUAUGCCGAAGCCCGCUUGCUGGACGACGCGGGGUUCGUCAGCAUCUUCAGCGACGAAUCCGAGUCGGACGACGACGAGCAGGGCGCCCGGGGCGUGGCUGUCAAGUCGGCACGUCAGCCCGAGAGAAGAGCUCGGAGAGUGAGGGCGGCGAUGAAGGCUGCCAAAUCUUUCAGUGAUCGGAGGCCCGUCACGGCCUCCUCGAGGAAGAAGAGGGUCAAGGGUUGCCGGAAUUCUCUGGGCUGCUUUUACAAGAUGUCCGGACGGAAGCUUCUGACAGCGAAGCAAGAAGUUGAGUUAUCAGAGGGCAUUCAGGAUCUCCUGAAGUUGGAGGCUACCCAAAAGGAGGUUGCACACUACAACGGCGGUGAACCAACCUUCGGUCAGUGGGCAGCAGCAGUUGGCACUGAUGAGAACACUUUGAGGAAACGUCUCAGCUAUGGAAUUUACUGCAAGAACAUGAUGGUCAAAUCUAACGUGCGACUUGUAAUCUCAAUUGCCAAAGAGUUUGAAGGCCCUGGGACAGAGUUUUCCGAUCUUAUCCAGGAAGGGAUUCAGGGCCUUAUAAGGGGCGCUGAAAAGUUUGAUGCCUCAAAGGGUUUUAGGUUCUCUACGUAUUCUCACUGGUGGAUCAAGCAAGCAAUACGCAAGUCGGUUCUAGAACAAACCCAAAUAAUUCGCUUGCCAGCGCACAUGGCGGAAGCAAGUUCCCGAGUGAAAGAAUGCCGGCGACGACUCCGCCGGCAGCUGAAUAGGCUACCGACAAAUGAAGAAAUCGCGUUGGACACCGGCAUGACAGCCAGACGGGUGGAAGCAGCAAUGUGCCUCCCAAGGUACAGCGUAUCCCUCACUGGCAAAGUCGGGUGCACGGACGUGACAUACCAGGAGAUCACGGCGGACAAGAGCACGGAGACGGCGGAGGAGACGCUGCACAGAUUGUUCAUGAAGAAAGACGUGGACAAGGCGCUGGACAGCCUGACCCCUCGGGAGAGGGAGGUGAUCAGGUACAGGUUCGGGAUGGACGACGGCAAAGCGAGGACCCUGCACGACAUCGGGCAGCUGAUGGGGGUGAGCAGGGAGAGGAUCCGGCAGAUCGAGAUGACCGCCUUCCGCAAGCUCAGGAGCAAGAAGAAGGUGACGUCGCUACAGCACUACCUUGAGCCAGCAGAGAGCUGGUAG